rnacentral:rRNA from 1 species
GACGAACGCUGGCGGCGUGCUUAACACAUGCAAGUCGAACGGAAAGGCCCUGCUUGCAGGGUACUCGAGUGGCGAACGGGUGAGUAACACGUGGGUGAUCUGCCCUGCACUUCGGGAUAAGCCUGGGAAACUGGGUCUAAUACCGGAUAGGAGCCAUUUUUAGUGUGAUGGUUGGAAAGUUUUUUCGGUGUAGGAUGAGCUCGCGGCCUAUCAGCUUGUUGGUGGGGUAAUGGCCUACCAAGGCGGCGACGGGUAGCCGGCCUGAGAGGGUGGACGGCCACAUUGGGACUGAGAUACGGCCCAGACUCCUACGGGAGGCAGCAGUGGGGAAUAUUGCACAAUGGGCGCAAGCCUGAUGCAGCGACGCCGCGUGGGGGAGGACGGCCUUCGGGUUGGAAACUCCUUUCGCUAGGGACGAAGCUUUUUGUGACGGUACCUAGAGAAGAAGCACCGGCUAACUACGUG